GGGUGGGUAGCUCAGUGGUUAGAGCUUAGGUCUUGUAACCGGAAAGUCCCGGGAUCGAAUUUAUUUCUGGUUUUUUCA
rnacentral:tRNA from 1 species